rnacentral:misc_RNA from 1 species
CGCCGAAGGUGGGGCUAAUGACUGGGGUGAAGUCGUAACAAGGUAGCCGUACCGGAAGGUGCGGCUGGAUCACCUCCUAACAGGGAGACAACAACUGAUCGUGAUGUCUAGGUUAUUUAUUCUUAGGCCAUGAUCCUGUCACCUUAGGUCGAUCGGUACCUCAAAGUUGGAAAUAAAUUCCGACUUUCAGUUCCUAAACUUGUCUAGGUCACACCCAACAAGGGUACUCCUGGGCCAUUAGCUCAGGUGGUUAGAGCGCACCCCUGAUAAGGGUGAGGUCCCUGGUUCAAGUCCAGGAUGGCCCAUUCGGUGUUGGGGGUAUAGCUCAGUUGGUAGAGCGCCUGCUUUGCAAGCAGGAUGUCAGCGGUUCGAGUCCGCUUACCUCCACUGAUCCCCUCCUGAUUACCCAAAUAAGGAGCUUUUUGUUGGCUGAUGUGAUUUAGACUUAGUGUCAUCUGAAAAUGACCCUAGCUUCCUAUCAUUCCUAAUUGGAUAACUAUUAGGUUGAAAGGACGCUGGGCUCAAUACAAUUCAAUUGAAUUGUAUCGACGUUCAGUAGAACCUUGACAACUACAUAGGUGAGUCUGGAAAGAAUAAAAGCAUCUCAUGGAUGCAUUGUUCUUACUUGAAGUAAAAGAUUUUACUUUUGUGAAUCUUUUGUUUUUUGUUGAAUAAUGCUCAAUUCUUAAGUGAGAGCCGAGUCCUAUAUGAAGUUCUCUUUUUAAGUGAUCUUUUUAUAGGUAUUUAUUGGUCAAGCUACAAAGGGCUCAC